GAGUGGCGGACGGGUGAGUAACACGUGGGUAACCUGCCCAGAAGCAGGGGAUAACACCUGGAAACAGAUGCUAAUACCGUAUAACAGAGAAAACCGCCUGGUUUUCUUUUAAAAGAUGGCUCUGCUAUCACUUCUGGAUGGACCCGCGGCGCAUUAGCUAGUUGGUGAGGUAACGGCUCACCAAGGCGAUGAUGCGUAGCCGACCUGAGAGGGUAAUCGGCCACAUUGGGACUGAGACACGGCCCAGACUCCUACGGGAGGCAGCAGUAGGGAAUCUUCCACAAUGGACGCAAGUCUGAUGGAGCAACGCCGCGUGAGUGAAGAAGGGUUUCGGCUCGUAAAGCUCUGUUGUUAAAGAAGAACGUGGGUGAGAGUAACUGUUCACCCAGUGACGGUAUUUAACCAGAAAGCCACGGCUAACUACGUGCCAGCAGCCGCGGUAAUACGUAGGUGGCAAGCGUUAUCCGGAUUUAUUGGGCGUAAAGCGAGCGCAGGCGGUCUUUUAAGUCUAAUGUGAAAGCCUUCGGCUCAACCGAAGAAGUGCAUUGGAAACUGGGAGACUUGAGUGCAGAAGAGGACAGUGGAACUCCAUGUGUAGCGGUGAAAUGCGUAGAUAUAUGGAAGA
rnacentral:rRNA from 1 species